GGGCCUGGCAAAGGGCCUGGCAACUGGGCCGGCUGAGGCGGUAGCGGGGCGGCCGCGGUGCGAUGAGGAGCCGCAGCAACUCGGGGGUGCGCCUGGACGGCUACGCCCGUCUGGUCCAGCGAACCAUCCUCUGCCACCAGAACCCAGUUACAGGGCUGCUUUCAGCCAGUACAGACCAUAAAGAUGCUUGGGUACGGGACAAUGUCUACAGCAUCCUGGCUGUCUGGGGGCUGGGGAUGGCUUAUCGGAAGAAUGCAGACCGGGAUGAGGAUAAAGCCAAGGCCUAUGAGCUUGAGCAGAAUGUUGUGAAGCUGAUGCGGGGACUCUUACAGUGCAUGAUGAGACAGGUAAAUAAGGUAGAGAAGUUCAAAUGCACACAGAGUACCAAAGACUGCCUCCAUGCCAAGUAUAACUCUGCAACUUGUGCCACGGUGGUUGGGGACGACCAGUGGGGGCAUCUACAAGUGGAUGCAACUUCCCUUUACCUCCUCUUCUUGGCACAGAUGACUGCAUCAGGGUUACGUAUUAUCUUCACCCUUGAUGAAGUUACCUUUAUUCAGAAUCUUGUUUUUUAUAUAGAAGCUGCCUACAAAGUCGCUGAUUAUGGAAUUUGGGAACGUGGUGAUAAGACAAACCAGGGCAUCCCUGAACUGAACGCAAGCUCCGUAGGGAUGGCCAAAGCUGCUUUGGAAGCAAUUGAUGAACUAGAUCUUUUUGGAGCUCAUGGAGGACACAAAUCAGUGAUUCAUGUUCUUCCUGAUGAAGUAGAACAUUGUCAGUCUAUCCUAUACUCCAUGUUGCCAAGGGCGUCCACAUCAAAGGAAAUAGAUGCUGGCCUUCUCUCUAUUAUUUCUUACCCGGCUUUUGCGGUGGAGGAUCUAAACCUAGUUAAUGUAACCAAGAGUGAAAUCAUAUCCAAAUUGCAGGGCCGCUAUGGCUGCUGUCGCUUUCUCCGAGAUGGUUACAAGACACCCAGAGAGGACCCAAGCAGGCUGCACUAUGAUCCUGCUGAGCUCAAGCUCUUUGAGAAUAUUGAAUGUGAGUGGCCAGUAUUCUGGACAUACUUCCUAAUUGAUGGAGUAUUCAAUGAGGAUAAAAUUCAGGUACAAGAGUAUAGAGAGGCUCUGGAAGGAAUACUUAUUAGAGAGAAGAAUGGAAUAGUGCUGAUGCCUGAACUGUACGCAGUGCCUCCAGAAAAGGUGGAUGAGGAGUAUGAAAAUCCUCACUCAGUGGAUCGUGUCCCAGUGGGAAAGUUACCUCAUCUUUGGGGCCAAUCACUGUAUGUCCUUAGCUGCCUGCUAGCAGAGGGAUUUCUUGCUGCAGGUGAAGUUGAUCCCUUGAAUAGGAGAUUUUCCAUUGGACUUAAACCUGAUGUUGUGGUGCAAGUAACUGUUUUGGCUGAAUCUAAUCAAAUUAAGAGUCUCUUGCAAGACCAUGGAAUCAAUGUUCAGAGCAUUGCUGAUAUCCAUCCACUCAGAGUGCAGCCAGCUCGCAUCCUGAGUAACCUCUACACCAUGCUUGGCCGGAACAAGAACAUGAAAUUAAGUGGACGGCCACACCGACAUAUUGGAGUGUUGGGCACCUCCAAGCUGUAUGUGAUAAGAAAUCAAAUAUUUGCUUUUACCCCUCAGUUUACUGACCAGCAUCACUUCUAUCUGGCUCUAGACAAUCAGAUGAUUGUGGAGAUGCUGAAGAUAGAGCUGGCGUACCUCACUUCUUGCUGGAGGAUGACAGGGAGACCAACCCUGACAUUUCCCAUCACCCACACAAUGCUUGUUGACGGUGGUACUGACAUUCAUCCUGCAGUUCUUGCCACCAUAAGAAAAUUAGAGGAUGGAUAUUUUGGAGGUGCCAGAGUGAAGAUAGGCAAGCUGUCAGAAUUUCUUACCACCUCUUUUCAUACGCAUCUGAGCUUCCUGGAUCCAGACUGUGAUGUAAAACUGUUCGAUGACCCUAAUGAAGGCCGCAGGAGUCCCGACAGUGAAUAUGGAGGCUAUUCAGCAGAUUUCUGUGAAAAAGAAAGUCAGGAUGAGCUGGAUCAGUACAUAAAUGAUGUCCUGCAGAGUACAGCACUGAAUUCAUACCUGCCUCCAACUUCAAAGACUGCAAAUCAACCACCUGUGUUCAGUGCAAACCAUUCCACAGAAGAGAUACUGUCAAUAAUGGCAAAGACAAAGGGCUUGGAAGUUCCAGCUGUGUCUAUGUCUCUGCCCACUAAAGUUCUGAACACACACCGGAAGUCUCUGAAUCUUGUUGAUAAUCCCCAUUUCUUUGAGGCAAAGGACCGUGGAAAUGUUUUGCACUUAUCUAAAGAUGCUCGUGGUGAUCUGGAUUGCAGGAAGCUUGUUGAGCAGUUGAAGGAAUGUCCAACGCUCCAUGAUCAAGCUGAUGUCUUAUAUAUCUUGCAUAUACUAAAAGGUGCUAACUGGGACACAGAGCUGGAUGGACAGUACGGUGUCACUGUUCAUUGCCUACUCAAUGAGCUCUACAGAAAGGCAGGCCUCAAUCAAGAAUGGGGAUUAAUCCGCUAUAUUUCUGGCAUACUCAAAAAGAGAGUGGAAGUCCUGGCUGAGGCAUGCACAGACCUCCUGUCGCACCACAAACAGCUUACAGUGGGCCUGCCACCAGAGCCCCGUGAAAAAAUCAUUACCACCCCACUGCCACCUGAGGAGCUCAUAGAUCUGAUUUAUGAAGCCAGCGGCCAAGACAUCAGUAUAGCAGUCCUGACGCAGGAAAUAAUUAUGUACUUGGCGAUGUACGUCCGGUCACAGCCUAGUCUUUUUGUGGAGAUGCUCAGGCUCCGCAUUGGUCUGAUAAUUCAGGUGAUGGCCACUGAGCUGGCCCGAAGUCUGAAAUGCUCAGGUGAAGAAGCUUCAGAGAGUUUGAUGAAUCUAAGCCCCUUUGAUAUGAAAAAUCUUCUACACCAUAUUCUCAGUGGAAAAGAGUUUGGUGUGGAAAGAAGCUUGCGACCUGGAGAUUCCUCUUCAUCCAGCCCUUCAAUUUCUAUUCAUGAAAUGGGGCAUUCUGGAGCAACCAAAACAGAAAGAAGUGGUAUUACUAAAUUGAAGAGUGAGAUGACGCAGAGGAGCAGUACUCCGUCAUCUCCCACUAGUGCUUCUCCUGCUGGCUCCAGUGGAGACAUGAGCUGGGGUGACAGAAAAGGGCAGUGGCUGCGCAGAAGGAGGCUUGAUGGUGCUAUUAACAGGGUUCCUGUUGGCUUUUAUGAGAAAGUGUGGAAAAUUCUUCAGAAGUGCCACGGUCUGUCCAUUGAUGGGUAUGUCCUUCCUUCUUCAACUACCAGAGAGAUGACACCGUGUGAAAUCAAGUUUGCUGUGCACGUGGAGUCAGUGCUGAACCAUGUACCCCAGCCUGAGUACAGGCAGCUCCUGGUGGAAGCCAUCCUUGUUCUCACGUUCCUCUCCGACGUCGAGGUGAACAGCAUUGGGGGUAUCAUCUGUGUGGACCGAAUCGUGCACAUGGCCAAUGACCUCUUUCUGCAGGAGCUGAAAUCCUUCGGAGCUACUGGUAGUAUCUUGGAGAAAGAUGUAGCCACAGGAAUUUGCCACUUUUUUUAUGACAGUGCUCCAAGCGGGGCCUAUGGCACCAUGACGUACCUAACAAAAGCCAUAAUUAUUUAUUUACAUGAUUUCCUGCCCAGCACAGGCUGUGCGAUGCAGUAAGCAAUGCCUUAUGCAGGAGGGAAGGCUCAGCAGCUCCUUCUCCCUCUUUCACUGUCAUGAACUUCUGGUUUAGUUGCUGCAUGUUUGUGUGCCGUGCACUACCUCAGCAUUUCACACUGGUUGUCAUGCUAUGUGCAUGCCUCCCUGCAGGGGACAGGUAGGUGGGAUGAAAAUGAUGCCUAUUCAAUUACUCAAGCUAUAGAUUUGUGGCAAGUACUCACAUGCUAAAUUCUGUUACUUCUAAGCCCAAGAUUUUGCUGAAGUGUCUGCCACAGUCUAUAUAAACGUUCCGUCCAGGAGAGUCUCUGAAAUGCAACGUUAAACAAACAUGUUCCAACAUUUACUUUAGAGCUGCUUAACUGUUUCUGUAGCAUUUUGGUUUUCUUCCACUUUCACCUCUUUUUGUGUUCUUGAGUGGCCUUAAUGAUAUUUAUUUCAUCCCAUAGAUCUUUGAGCAUGGAAGGCUAACACUUUAAAUUGUUUUGUCAGUUAUUCCACUGAUAGUCCAAAAUAAUUCCAACUCCAUUUCUAAAGUCAUUCAGUGCUACACUUAAGUAAACUGGUUGGAAGUUUC